CAGGGCAGCCACAGCGUGUGCUCCUGCGUGAUGAAGGGAGCCCGCUCGAAGUGCAGGAUAAUGGAGAUCCCGCCGAUGGUAACAAGAUCGAAGCUGUUUUAAGAGAUGGAAAACAAGAGAUGUGUGCUGAAGUAUUUCCCUGUGCAUGAGGAGCAGGAUCUGAAAGCAUGCUGACAGCCCAGAGCCAGCCUUGAUGACCCUUGUAAUUACAAGGAUGGUUGGCUGGCCUAGCAAAGGUUCAGAGAUGCAUCUAAUGUUACCUGAUAAACUGGCAACAAGACUAGGAUUAGAAUUAAAG